CCGAUUCACACACACACACACAGAUAUCUAUAUAUAUAGCCGAUUCACAUAUAUAUACCAAAACACAUGUUUUCAAUAGUUUGCACAAGUUCCAUACUAAUAGAAACUAAAACAAAAUAUUGUAGCUUAACAAAAGUUUCAAAAUGUCAAGAAGCAAAAGAGUCGAGCUAAAGCAAUAGAUUUCUACAUCUUUCAAUCAAUUAGAUCAAGUAAUAAGGUCUUCAUCACUGCUUUCAUCAUCCCCUUGGUUAUCUUCUCCACCUAUAAAAGACCAGAAAAAUAAAAGUUUAUUGAGAGCAAAUGUUGAAGAAAGAUAGUUCAUAUUUACGUAAUUAAAUCAUGUCUCUAUCUACUCCACAUCUGUGUAAGUGAAAUAAUCAAACAUUUAAUUUGCUCAAUCAACUAUGCAUAAAGAAAAAAGGUAAAACCAAAAGAGUGGAGGUAAACUUAGCCAAGUAUCAAUGCAGCUGAUAUGGAAAGCAUGGCUACAAUUAGGGAGCAAUCUCAAUUUAUCCUUAUCAGAGAAUUCACACAAACAAACAGCACAAUCAAAGGGCUCUUUAGGACCAACAACCUCUUUGUACAAAAAGACAAGUAAUGCAUCAAUAAAUGCUUGAUCCAAACCAGAAUCAUGUAAAUGGAAUAACUAUUAUAACUGCCUUUGCAAAGAAUCUGAACUAGAAACUUCAAGGUAUCCAUUAGAUUGAGAUGCUGCUGAAGAAGAAGGGUGUUUGAUAAGAAAUCUAACUAGCAAAUGGAGCAGACCAGAUAUGAAAAACAGGACAACUAAUAUAACUAUAAUUAAAAGAACAAUUGGACUGUUCUUAUUUCCAGAUGGGGAUGAAGAAGAUGAGUUUGGUUCCUUGUGAAAAAUACAACUUCCACCAAAUGAAGGAGGAUAUGAGGGAAACAGAGGAAGAGAAUAUGUAAAACACAUUCCUGUCCUGUGACCCAACUUCACCAAAUGAACAAAUAAUCUCAAAAAUACAUUCAAAAAAACACUUUAGUGACAGAGCAAAUAACAAGAGAUAGUGAUAAAACCAAACAUAAAAUGCAAAAGACAGAAUCUUUACAUGUCUUGAUUCCCACUUAGUCACCAUUACACAGAAAAACAAUACUUAUAACAAUCCAUUUAUAUAAAGAAUCACUUCUGACUUAUCGAGCAUAUGUAAUAUGCCAAAAGUGCAUUUCUUGCAAUCUGAACUUUUUCCUUAUAUCACGACACAUACUUUGAGUAUGUUAACAAAGGUUGGUGCAUUAUAUAGUAGCAGAAAAUAAUCGAUAUAACCUACAGUUUGGCCAAUUACUAUUAAGUAACCUUUAGUUAGUCAAACUAUUUAACCAGCCUGCCUAUUAGUCUUUGACACAAACUUUUUACUAUUUUUUUGCCUGCUGCAUGUAAACUGCAAGUUGUAUCCAGCAACCUGAAAUGACUCAGAUUAGAUUUGUUUUUCUUUUAGUGGGUGCAGGGCUGGUUGGGCGAUACAAAUGGCUCAAAAAUUGGUAAUAUAGCUUUGUAUCAAAAGAGAGACACAUUAACAAAACACAUUCAAGGGGAAUAUAUAAUAAAAUAAACAUAACAUUCAAAUAUAGCAACACUAGGAGUGUACCAAAUAAGUAUACCACAAUAUCUCAAAAAAACAAUUUUCAAGGGAAGGAAUUUUAACAACAAAACAGGAAGGGACAGAACCUUCAGACUUUAUUCAAACCCUUCCAAUUCACCAUAACUAGUCAAAUUCAAGCAAUUGAAGUUAUAAAUCACACGCACACAGCAAGCACACAAUUUAUAAGUAUCCAAAACUUCAUCCAGACUCCACUACAUAUAGGAAAGACAAUCCAUUUGGCCAAGCUAAAGUCACAGGAAUAUGCUUGCAAAUUAUUAGCCAACAUGGCUUUUGACACUUCAGGCAGGUUUGAGAUUCAUGGUUUUCAGAUCUGCCAAGUCAAGCGAGGAUGAUCCUUAAUUUAAACUAACAACAAGUUACUAAUCUUAGCAAAAGGACCAACAACAGCGUAGAUACACAGACAAAUUGUCUACAAACUAGCACUUCCAACAACAGUUCAUAUGUGUCAGCAGUAGGCUAGCCCUUUAGUGCUAAAUAUUUAUCGUUUCCAACAGUCCAACAAUUUCACUAACAAAUAAGAGCCACAAUAAUUUCACAAUUUAAGAUGGCACACUAAUGAGAGAACAAUGAUUCAAAGACUAACGUUUUCACAACCAAAACAUUUGGAAAAGGAAAAUAAGAGUCCAAGGUUUUGAUACUCAAAAUAGGGUCCUGAUCGAGAUAAAUCUAUACACAAAAAGUGAGUAGAAAACUCAACAUUCAACUGGAACAUUCAAAUCCAUUUACAAUCAAGUGAUCCUCCACCACAUUUCUAUAAUGCCAAUAACGAUUGAUGCAUUUUUUGCAAGGGCAUAAUAUUUCAUUUCCUUUAGAAGCUCGUUGAAAUGCCUUAUCAAGAAAAUCAUUCACUCCACUAAUAUAUUUUUCACUGCAUCGUCUGAGACUAAUCCAACUUCUAUCUAAAUUAUCCAUUGAUAUCUAUGCGACACAAAAAGAUAAAAAGAAUCAAAUUUAUGAUAAACUAUGAAAUAAAAAGACAACAAUGUUUUACACAUGAACAAACAUAUCUCAAAAUGUACAUGGAGAAUAUGUAGUUUAAAACUCAUAGCAAUCACAAUUCAAUUUACAACAAGCAUUUCAUAGUUUUUCUUAAUAUAUGAAACAAAUAUCAAAGUUCCCUUUAUCAUUGGAAAUAUAUACAAAACACUGAUCUACAUGACCUGUCAAGAAAUAACUUUAACAAGCUUAUCAUGGUUUCAAAUUUAUGUUAUUAAAGACUUAUGAACAUUCAAGAAAUGGAAAAUGGUCGCUGGAUUCAGAUGAAGGUUGGUCAUAUUCUAACACACCAAUAAAUCGCCUUGAGGAUUCAAUUCUUUUCAAAAAUGUAUCCCUACUGAUUUUCUUUUUGAUAGGAAAUCAAGGCAAAACAGUCUUCAAAAGUGAUAAAACAGAUUUUUAAGGCAAAUAAUAUUGAUCUAGAAUUUUACAAAGUUUCAGAUUUUAAUGUCAAAAAGUCUAAUACUAACCAGCAAUGAAUUUUAGUUCUUUUCCAUUUUCAUGCUAAUAUAUCUCUUGUUUCCUAUUGCUCUAAUGUAACUCUUCAACAAUAAUGAAAGUGAAAUUUCUCACAUCCUAGCUAUUCAAGCGAGAGGUGAAAGCAAGGAAGACAUCAUCAAUGCAAGGGUAAUCAAAACCGAUUGAAUAACUCAUGGAACAACAAAUCCAACAUCAAUCUCAAGAGAAAUAUUGUCUAGAAUAAUCAAUUUCACCAUAACUACCAACAAAACUUUAAACCCACAAUAGUUAAAACUUAAUGGGAAAAACCCACAAUCAGAAAAAAAAAAAAUACAUCAAAUACAGUAACUACACCUCAACGAUUAAAUGAAAAAAAAGAGAUUCAAGAAGAAUACCUUAACAGCUCAAACUUGAAGUUUCUUCAGCUAUAACCUCAAAGAUGUCAGAACAGAACCUUCAGCUGUUGAAGAAAAAAAAUCAAGAUUUCUCAGAUUUCACAAGCAAACCUUUAGCCCUCUAUUUCCUUCGGUUUCACAACAGUUUCUAAACAGAAAUGGGUUUACGAUUGAAGAAAAAAAAUGGUUUAAGUUUGCCCUAAAAUUACAGACAAGAAGAACUUACCAUAAGAUUCAAAUCCCUACAAAACCCCAUAAGCUUGCCCUGAAAUUGUGUUCUUUUUGUUGAAAAAUAGGUCCAAGAGAAGAUGGUGACAACGUAUGGUCUUCUGCUUGUUGAAGAGAUGAGAAAUGUCUUUAGAAAAUGGUUGUAUCAAUAUUCUAAUAGAAAGAAAAAUAAAUUAGAUUUAAAAAAUUGUUGGCAUGGGAAACAAUGUUCAAUGUUGAUGCAACAUCUAUCAACAAUGUUCAAUUCUUUUUCCAAAAAGAAAAAUCCCUACUGAUUUUUUUAUAUAAGAAAUCAAGGCAGAACAGUCUUCAAAAGUGAUUUUUAGAUUUUUUUUCUUUUAACUAAUGCUACAGGCCUACAACAAUCAUAAAAAGUAAGGAAAUCAUGGGUCUAUGUUGGUCAAUUUGCAGGUUUAAACUUAAAAAUACAGAACCUGAAUCAAGUGCUAGUAACAUGGUGGACAACAAUGAUAGGUCAUAAGCUUCAACAACUUUUGAAGGUUAUGCCUGCAAUAAUACUAUGGGGAAUUUGGAGUAGAAGAAAUAUCAUUAGACACAGGGAAACAUGACAUAUAACAGAGUUGUUUAUCAGGUUACUCUAAAUGUAUGGCAAUUUGCAAUGACAAUUUUUCUAAGUUUGAAACAAUUCCCCCACCAACUGGUUAGACAUGGUAUAAUUCUUAGAGGAUGACAAGACAAAGAUUAUUAUGAGAGGAUCAUUGGAAGCCCCCAAAUGCAAAUAACAUCAAGUGUAACACAGAUGGUUCAGGUAAAGGUAAUCCAGGCAAUGGUUCUUAUGCUUAUUGCCUAAGAGAUCAAGAAUGUAACCUCAUCUAUACACAAGCAGAAGAAAUAUCUGAAAAUUAUACUACAAGGAAAAUGAGAGAUGCCUUGGAAUAUUAGAAUUAUUGUGGAAGACACUCUAGCUCUCACGAAAGAUGCUACAAUUAACAUUGAGCACAUAUAUAGGGGAAGGGACUUCAUUAGCUUACUAUCUAUCUAAUCAUGCAUUUAAGGUGGAAGGACGACAACAAUAUAAUACAUUUCGAGAGUUACCUUCACAGGGGAGGAAAGUUCUCAAUUUGGACAAACUGGAAGUACCAAAUUUGAGAAUCAAGAGCAAGAUAAUCAAGUGAAUAAUUAUUUUAUAAUUCAUGAUCAGAUACGAGUACAUUUCAAGAAGAAAUCAACGAAGGAUCAACUAUAGAAAAGUCACAACACAGUCUACAUUCUAUUAAAAUAGGAAAUAGAACCUAAAAUAAUGUCAAACAAUAGCACUUUUGAUAAUUAAAUGGAGCAAAAAAAAGAGGUACUUCAACAAUUAGAAGAAAUCAGUAAAGGAGAAAAGAGGAAAAUCAAAAGUAUGAUGAUGAUAUCCAAGAAAUUAUCUACCCAUGAAAUUUCACAACAAUUAUAUACAUCGAUAAAUCGGAAAGAAUCCAACUGAGAAAUGCGAAAAAAGGGGGAACACUAACAAGUUACAUCCAUGGCUAUAGCUCAAGCGACCAUGGCAGACUCGGCCGGAGGCAGGAAGUGCUGGCGGGAGUAGAUUGUGCAGUGCUCUGGAUGGUGAUGAUUGGCAGAGACAAUCACUUUCCGAACCAGUAGCAAAUUUUAGUACCAACCAGUAGUAAAUUUUAGUUUAUUUCAUUUUCAUGUUAAUUUAUCUCUUGUUUCCUAUUUCUAUAACGUAAAUCUUCAACAAUAACGAAAGUGAAUUUUUGACAUCCUACUCAAGUGAGAGGUGAAAUCAAUGACGACAUCAUCAAUACAAGGGUUUUCAAACCCGAUUGAAUAACUCAUGGACAAGAAAUACAACAUCAAUGUCAAGUUAAUUAUGGUCUAGAGCAGUCAAUUUCACCAUAACUCCAACAAAACAUUAAACCCACGAUAGCUAUAACUUAAUGGGAAAAAACCCACAAUCAGAGAAACACAUCAAAUACACUAACCACACCCAAAGAUUAAAGACAAAAGAAGAGAUUCAAGAAGAAAAGCUCAAAAGCUCAAACUUGUAGUUUCUUCAGCUAUAACCUCAAAGAUUGAAGAAGAGAACCUCCAGCAGUUGAAGAAGAAAGCCUCCAUUUCCUUAGAUUUUACAAGAAAACAUACAACCCUCCAUUUCAUUAGAUUUCACAAGAGGUAUGAAGAGAUAAAUGGGUUUAGAUUCGAAGAAAAAAAUGGUUUUAUGUUUGCCCUAAAAUGACAGACAUGAAGAACUUACAAUCAGAUUAAUAUCCUUGCAAAGCUCCACAACUUCUGUGUUCCAUCGAUAUGCUAUGUGUUUAGCUUCUGCUAAGCUCCACAGAAUUGAUGAAAAAUCAGGUCAAAGUGAAGAAGAGUGACAACUUUUGUGCUCUGCUUGUUGAAGAGAGGGGAAAUGAGCUUAAUGUUUGCCUCGUUUG
rnacentral:lncRNA from 1 species